rnacentral:rRNA from 1 species
GCAUAGCCGAGUUGAGAGACUGAUCGGCACAUUGGGACUGAGACACGGCCCAAACUCCUACGGGAGGGCAGCGGUAGGGAAUCUUCCACAAUGGACGCAAGUCUGAUGGAGCAACGCCGCGUGAGUGAAGAAGGGUUUCGGCUCGUAAAGCUCUGUUGUUGGUGAAGAAGGACAGGGGUAGUAACUGACCUUUGUUUGACGGUAAUCAAUUAGAAAGUCACGGCUAACUACGCGCCAGCAGCCGCGGUAAU